AUCUUAAACGCCAUUUUUUUUUAUCAUUCUUGCUUUCUGUCAUUUCUCUCUCCCGAGUUGCUUUCUCUCAUUUCUCUCUCCCGAAUUGUUAUCUCCCCCUUCUCUGUUCCUUCUUUCCAUUUUUUUUCAUUUUUCCCGUUUUUCUGCGUUUUCUUACAUCUAAAGCUGUAAUUUUUUACAUCAAAAUUGUGAUUUUUAUCUCAGAUUCCAUGACAACGAUAUCAUAUUUGCGUUCCUUUCCAAGUUUGUAUUUCUAUUUGACCGUGACUAACUAUUGUUCUUCCUUUGCAACACAAAAGCUUCAAUUUUUUUGUGUUUUCUAUUUUUUUGUGUUAUAAUGACUUUUCGUAGGACAAAAGGUUAAAUUUUUUGGUGUUCCUGAGCCUUCUCCGACGUACCCAAAGGUUGGAGCUUUUUUGCUGGGUUUGCCAGUUCUUUACUUGAUUUGGCCGAAAAAUGAUUUAUGGGUUGUUUUCUCUCCUAUCUUUCUACGUUUUCUUUUUUCAUUUGAUUUAUUUGACCGUGGCUGACUAUUGUUCUUCCUUUACAACACAAAAACUUCAAUUUUUUUGCGUCUUAUGUCUUUGUUUUGUGUUAUAAUGACUUUUCGCAAGACAAAAGGUUAAAUUUUUUGGUGUUCUUGAGCCUUCUCCAACGUACCCAAAGGCUGGAGCUUUUUUGCUGGGUUUGCCAGUUCUUUGCUUGAUUUGGCCGAAAAAUGAUUUAUGGGUUCUUUUCUCUCCUAUCUUUCUACGUUUUCUUUUUUCAUUUGAUUUAUUUGACCGUGGCUGACUAUUGUUCUUCCUUUGCAACACAAAAGCUUCAAUUUUUUUGCGUCUUAUGUCUUUAUUUUGUGUUAUAAUGACUUUUCGCAGAACAAAAGGUUAAAUUUUUUGGUGUUCCUGAGCCUUCUCCGACGUACCCAAAGGCUAAAGCUUUUUUGCUGGGUUUGACAGUUCUUUGCUUGAUUUGGCCUAAAAAUGAUUUAUGGGUUGUUUUCUCUCCUAUCUUUCUACGUUUUCUUUUUUCAUUUGGUUUAUUUGAUGGUGGCUGAGUAUUGUUCUUCCUUUGCAAGACAAAAGCUUCAAUUUUUUUGCGUCUUCUGUCUUUGUUUUGUGUUAUAAUGACUUUUCGCAGGACAAAAGGUUAAAUUUUUUUGUGUUCUUGAACCUUCUCCAACAUAAAGUUGUCACCGAGAGCAAAUAGUGUUCGGCAUUUGAAGGACAGUCUUAUUGAGUCUUAUUUGACUGUGGUUAACCCACUCUUCUUCCUUUGCAAGACAAAAGCCAUAGAUCAUAGUAUGUUGGAUAAAUUACAGGGGAAAACUUCGUUUUUUUCUUUACUCAGAUGAACAUAGUUCGAUUGCCGAUGUUCUGCCUUAAUAGCACAAUAUUGAAAAAUAUGGAUCUUUGUGUUGCAUUCGCUACCUAUUUUUAUCUUUUUUUGUGUUGCAUGUUUGAGUUCCUUUCUUUAUCAUGUUCAUUUUUGUAUUACUUGAAAAAAAUGACGUUUAUUACUAUGAUUAACUUUGAGCUUCACGAGUGA